CGGGACACGUGAAACCCUGUGGGAAGCAGGAGGGACCACCCUCCAAGGCUAAAUACUACCUAGUGACCGAUAGCGUAUAGUACCGUGAGGGAAAGGUGAAAAGAACCCCGGGAGGGGAGUGAAAUAGAACCUGAAACCCUGCACUUACAAGCUGUGGAAGCACAUUUCUUGUGUGACCGCGUACUUUUUGUAGAACGGGCCAACGAGUUACGUUAAGUAGCAAGGUUAAGCACUUAAGGUGCGGAGCCGUAGCGAAAGCGAGUUUUAACUGAGCGUUCAGUUACUUGACGUAGACCCGAAACCGGGCGACCUACCCAUGAGCAGGAUGAAGCGAAAGUAAAAUUUCGUGGAGGUCCGAACCCACGAGCGUUGAAAAGCUCGGGGAUGACUUGUGGGUAGCGGUGAAAUUCCAAUCGAGCCCGGAGAUAGCUGGUUCUCCCCGAAAUAGCUUUAGGGCUAGCCUCAAGGUGAGAGAUACGGAGGUAGAGCACUGAAUGUCCUAGGGGGUAUUGCACCUACCGAAGACUAUCAAACUCCGAAUGCCGUCAUCUUAUACUUGGGAGUCAGACUGUGGGUGAUAAGAUUCAUAGUCGAAAGGGCAACAGCCCAGAUCGUCAGCUAAGGUCCCUAAAUGUAAGUUAAGUGGUAAAGGAUGUGGGAUUGCACAGACAACCAGGAUGUUGGCUUAGAAGCAGCCACUCAUUCAAAGAGUGCGUAAUAGCUCACUGGUCGAGUGAUCCUGCGCCGAAGAUUUCCGGGGCUAAAACUU
rnacentral:rRNA from 1 species